CAAAAAUUGUAAAGCAGGAUGUCAGUGAAUUUGAAUUCUGAACGUCAGUUUGAAGAUGCUGCCUCUGGAGACGUACAAACAUACCAGAUUCGCACAGCACCCACUAGCACUAUUGCCCCUGGAGUUGUUAUGGCAUCCUCCCCAGCACUUCCUACACAGCCUGCUGAAGAAGCAGCACGAAAGAGAGAGGUCCGUCUAAUGAAGAACAGGGAAGCAGCUCGAGAGUGUCGUAGAAAGAAGAAAGAAUAUGUGAAAUGUUUAGAAAACAGAGUGGCAGUGCUUGAAAAUCAAAACAAGACAUUGAUUGAGGAGCUAAAAGCACUUAAGGACCUUUACUGCCACAAAUCAGAUUAAUUUGGGAUUUAAAUUUUCACCUGUUAAGGUGGAAAAUGGACUGGCUUGGCCACAACCUGAAAGACAAAAUAAACAUUUUAUUUUCUAAACAUUUCUUUUUUUCUAUGCGCAAAACUGCCUGAAAGCAACUACAGAAUUUCAUUCAUUUGUGCUUUUGCAUUAAACUGUGAAUGUUCCAACACCUGCCUCCACUUCUCCCCUCAAGAAAUUUUCAACGCCAGGAAUCAUGAAGAGACUUCUGCUUUUCAACCCCCACCCUCCUCAAGAAGUAAUAAUUUGUUUACUUGUAAAUUGAUGGGAGAAAUGAGGAAAAGAAAAUCUUUUUAAAAAUGAUUUCAAGGUUUGUGCUGAGCUCCUUGAUUGCCUUAGGGACAGAAUUACCCCAGCCUCUUGAGCUGAA
rnacentral:sRNA from 1 species